GACGAACGCUGGCGGCGUGCUUAACACAUGCAAGUCGAACGGAAAGGCCCUGCUUUUGUGGGGUGCUCGAGUUGCGAACGGGUGAGUAACACGUGAGUAACCUGCCCUUGACUUUGGGAUAACUUCAGGAAACUGGGGCUAAUACCGGAUAGGAGCUCCUGCUGCAUGGUGGGGGUUGGAAAGUUUCGGCGGUUGGGGAUGGACUCGCGGCUUAUCAGCUUGUUGGUGGGGUAGUGGCUUACCAAGGCUUUGCCGGGUAGCCGGCCUGAGAGGGUGACCGGCCACAUUGGGACUGAGAUACGGCCCAGACUCCUACGGGAGGCAGCAGUGGGGAAUAUUGCACAAUGGGCGGAAGCCUGAUGCAGCAACGCCGCGUGCGGGAUGACGGCCUUCGGGUUGUAAACCGCUUUCGCCUGUGACGAAGCGUGAGUGACGGUAAUGGGUAAAGAAGCACCGGCUAACUACGUG
rnacentral:rRNA from 1 species